CGCACGGGUGAGUAACGCGUAAGUAAUCUACCCUGGUAUCUGGGAUAACCCACCGAAAGGUGUGCUAAUACCGGAUACGCUGAUUUAUCAGGAAAGGUGGCCUCUUCAUGAAAGCUACUGUACCAGGAGGAGCUUGCGUACCAUUAGCUAGUUGGUAGGGUAAUGGCCUACCAAGGCGACGAUGGUUAGCGGGUCUGAGAGGAUGAUCCGCCACACUGGAACUGGAACACGGACCAG
rnacentral:rRNA from 1 species